rnacentral:rRNA from 1 species
GGGGUAGAAUUUCCAGGUGUAGCGGUGAAAUGCGUAGAGAUCUGGAGGAAUACCGGUGGCGAAGGCGGCCCCCUGGACGAAGACUGACGCUCAGGUGCGAAGCGUGGGGAGCAAACAGGAUUAGAUACCCUGGUAGUCCACGCUGUAAACGAUGUCGAUUGGGAGGUUGUGCCCUUGAGGCGUGGCUUCCGGAGCUAACGCGUUAAAUCGACCGCCUGGGGAGUACGGCCGCAAGGUUAAAACUCAAAUGAAUUGACGGGGGCCCGCACAAGCGGUGGAGCAUGUGGUUUAAUUCGAUGCAACGCGAAGAACCUUACCUACUCUUGACAUCCAGAGAACUUUCCAGAGAUGGAUUGGUGCCUUCGGGAACUCUGAGACAGGUGCUGCAUGGCUGUCGUCAGCUCGUGUUGUGAAAUGUUGGGUUAGUCCCGCAACGAGCGCAACCCUUAUCCU